AGCGAACGUUAGCGGCGCGCUUAACACAUGCAAGUCGCACGAGAAAGGGUCUUCGGACCCCGGUAAAGUGGCGCACGGGUGCGUAACACGUAGGCAAUCUUCCCUCAGGAGGGGGAUAACUACCCGAAAGGGUAGCUAAUACCGCGUAAGACCACGGUCUCCACGGAGACAGCGGUCAAAGGUGGCCUCUGCAUGCAAGCUACCACCAGAGGACGAGCCUGCGGCCCAUCAGCUAGUUGGCAGGGUAAUGGCCUACCAAGGCGAAGACGGGUAGCCGGUCUGAGAGGAUGAUCGGCCACACUGGCACUGAAACACGGGGCCAGACUCCUACGGGAGGCAGCAGUGGGGAAUCUUGGACAAUGGGCGAAAGCCUGAUCCAGCGACGCCGCGUGGGUGAUGAAGGCCUUCGGGUUGUAAAGCCCUGUUGAAGGGAAAGAAAACGUUGGCGCGAAUAGCUCCCGACCUUGACGGUACCCUUCCAGAAAGCACCGGCUAACUCUGUGCCAGCAGCCGCGGUAAGACAGAGGGUGCAAACGUUGCUCGGAAUUACUGGGCGUAAAGCNCGUGUAGGCGGGGCCGAUAAGUCAGAUGUGAAAUCCCUGAGCUCAACUCAGGAACUGCAUUUGAAACUGCCGGUCUA
rnacentral:rRNA from 1 species